ACAAGCUAAACAUUUUCUUUAAAAUUGUAGUUUGAUCCAAAUUGGCAAGGGAAUUUUUAUUAUCAUUAUUCAGACUCUUCAGGUUCAGCCACGUGUGCCUUGAGCAACUCAAGCUUUUGACUUCUCCCAACGUCUGUUGUCUCUCGAGCAGAACAAUAUUUUCUUAUCUCAACGUCUUCUUCUUCUUCUCAUCAAGCCACGUGUCCCUUGUCUUUUAACGAAAGGAGCUAUCUCCGCCACUGCUCUCCCCCCAACCUUUUCUUUCUCUGCUUUCAGCUUCUCUAUACUUCCCACCUCUUCUUCUCGGAAGAAAGCCCACUGUCAUUCCUUGAUCACAUCACAAGGAUGGCUGGGAUGAAGACCCAUCUCCACUGGGAAUUCCUCAGCCUCAGGCGAUGUCAGCGUCUCCUCCUCUCUCCGAUCUCCGGUGAGGGCCCAUGGCGUGUCAUUUUUGGAUCGUGGCUGGGAAAAGUAGCUCGAGAGUAAUUUUAAUGAACCUAUAGAGGCCCAAAUCUCGAACAGACCGAGUGACAAUAUGACUCGGCUUGGAUAGGAUAGAUAGUAUACUUGGGCCAGGCCUAAUUUAAGACUUGCACCGGCCCAAUUUAAAACGUACAGGUCGCGUUGUCGUUGGGAGCCGACGCGUCCCACAUCGCUCAGUUAGAACAGUGAAGAUGAGUUUAUAAUGCAAAGCAGAACAUAGGAGUUUGUCCUUCGGGACAUCCGAUAAAAUUGGAACGAUACAGAGAAGAUUAGCAUGGCCCCUGCGCAAGGAUGACACGCAUAAAUCAAGAAAUGGGUUCAAUUGCAGAAGGUGCUUUCUCAGUUUUAUGGCACCGCCUGGCCGCUUCACUCGCAGAAACCUGCAACAAAGCUUUGCUCCGUCGGCACUGCCUUAUGUAACGCUGCCUAUGCCCCAAGUUUCUUUGUAUUUUAAACCCCUAUCAGCAAAUGCUGCUCCUUACGCACCUCUUGCCUAACCAGCUCCAUCUCCCUACUCUUCAUACCCGCCUAAUUUAGCUGGGUAUCCACCAUCUCCAUACUCAGCUUCACCUCCAGCUGCCUAUCCUCCCCCACCUUACCCACCAACAUCAGCUUAUCCUCCUCCUCCAUAUCCACAACAACCACAAAGCUCAUCCUAUUAUCCUCCAGGUCCUUAUCCAGGAAUGUAUCCUCCGGCCACCACCACACUGAAAGGGCAUCUGAAGCUUGUGAUUACGGAAAUGAAAUAAGUAGACAUCAAAAGUUGAAUCCUAUGUGUGGUUGUGUAUACAUUUGGAAAGUGAAUUCUUUCUGCAUUGAAUUGAAAAUUAGGCAAGGGAAUAAAAUGAGAAUUUCAUUU